rnacentral:rRNA from 1 species
UACGUAGGGCGCAAGCGUUGUCCGGAAUUAUUGGGCGUAAAGAGCUCGUAGGCGGUUUGUCGCGUCUGCCGUGAAAACCUAAGGCUCAACCUUGGGCUUGCAGUGGGUACGGGCAGACUAGAGUGCGGUAGGGGUGACCGGAAUUCCUGGUGUAGCGGUGGAAUGCGCAGAUAUCAGGAGGAACACCGAUGGCGAAGGCAGGUCACUGGGCCGCAACUGACGCUGAGGAGCGAAAGCAUGGGGAGCGAACAGG